AACGCUGGCGGCGUGCCUAAUACAUGCAAGUCGAGCGAGCAGAACCAGCAGAUUUACUUCGGUAAUGACGCUGGGGACGCGAGCGGCGGAUGGGUGAGUAACACGUGGGGAACCUGCCCCAUAGUCUAGGAUACCACUUGGAAACAGGUGCUAAUACCGGAUAAUAAAGCAGAUCGCAUGAUCAGCUUAUAAAAGGCGGCGUAAGCUGUCGCUAUGGGAUGGCCCCGCGGUGCAUUAGCUAGUUGGUAAGGUAACGGCUUACCAAGGCAAUGAUGCAUAGCCGAGUUGAGAGACUGAACGGCCACAUUGGGACUGAGACACGGCCCAAACUCCUACGGGAGGCAGCAGUAGGGAAUCUCCACAUGGACGCAAGUCUGAUGGAGCAACGCCGCGUGAGUGAAGAAGGUUUUCGGAUCGUAAGCUCUGUUGUUGGUGAAGAAGGAUAGAGGUAGUAACUGGCCUUUAUUGACGUAAUCGAACCAGAAAGUCACGGCUAACUUACCGG
rnacentral:rRNA from 1 species